rnacentral:rRNA from 1 species
UUUUGUAUAAUGGGUCAGCGAGUUACUUUGACGAGCAAGCCUAAGCCGUUAGGUGUAAGCGAAGCGAAAGCGAGUCUGAAUAGGGCGUNUAGUUCGUUUGAGUAGACCCGAAACCGGGUGAUCUAGCNAUGGGCAGGUUGAAGGUACGGUAACACGUACUGNAGGACCGAACCCACGUNUGUUGAAAAAUGCGGGGAUGACCUGUGGCUAGGGGUGAAAGGCCAAUCAAACCCGGAGAUAGCUGGUUCUCUGCGAAAACUAUUUAGGUAGUGCGUCAUGUAUUACUAUCGGGGGUAGAGCACUGGAUGGGCUAGGGGGGCGCGAGCCUUACCAAACCUAACCAAACUCCGAAUACCGAUAAGUACAGCAUGGCAGACAGACUAUGGGUGCUAAGGUCCAUAGUCGAGAGGGAAACAGCCCAGACCUCCAGCUAAGGUCCCUAAAUUGUGGCUAAGUGGGAAAGGAUGUGGGAAGGCCAAGACAGCCAGGAGGUUGGCUUAGAAGCAGCCAUCCUUUAAAGAAAGCGUAACAGCUCACUGGUCUAGAUAAGCCGGCCUGCGCCGAAGAUGUAACGGGGCUAAAGCCAUACACCGAAGCUGAGGACGUGCAUUAGCACGUGGUAGCAGAGCGUUCUGUAAGCCUGUGAAGCNUAACCGCGAGGUUGNGUGGAGGUAUCAGAAGUGAGAAUGCUGACAUGAGUAGCGAUAAAGAGUGUGAGAAACACUCUCGCCGUAAGCCCAAGGGUUCCUGCGCAAGGCUAAUCCGCGCAGGGUGAGUCGGCCCCUAAGACGAGGGCGAAAGCCGUAGUCGAUGGGAAUCACGGUUAAUAUUCCGUGAACCUGAUGGUAGUGACGGAUNACGUAAGUNGUNCAUGCUUAUCGGAUUGUGUGUGCNGCGAAGUUGUCCCAGGAAAUAGCUCCAUCNUUAAGACCGUACCCCAAACCGACACAGGUGGGCAGGUAGAGCAUACCNAGGCGCUUGAGAGAACGAUGUUGAAGGAACUCGGCAAAUUGCCCCCGUAACUUCGGGAGAAGGGGGACCUCNACUUGGGCAACCAGGUAGGGGUGGCACAGAAUAGGGGGUGGCGACUGUUUAUUAAAAACACAGGGCUCUGCGAAGUAGCUAAUACGACGUAUAGGGUCUGACGCCUGCCCGGUGCCGGAAGGUUAAAAGGAGGUGUGAGAGCUCCGAAUUGAAGCCCCGGUAAACGGCGGCCGUAACAAUAACGGUCCUAAGGUAGCGAAAUUCCUUGUCGGGUAAGUUCCGACCUGCACGAAUG